UGCCCUGACUAGGAUUUUGAACCGUGACCUUCUGGUUCAUAGGUGGACACUCAAACACUGAGCAAUGCCAGCUGAGCCCAUGCUUUUAUUUCACAGGUGCCUAUAAGCUCUUCCUCUCCCCCCACUCAGUCUGUAUACACAAACAUGCAAAGAGAUGGAAAUACACACACACACACACGCACGCACACACACACACGUGCGCACUUAGAACAGGAAUGGUAAGGUAUUAACUCUGUAAAUCUCUUCAUCAUUUACCUUCAUGGCUCUGCAUCCCUGACUUGUGUGUGGGUCUGGCAUACUAUUUGUGAUGGUGGGUAGAGACACCCUGGCAGCACUUUUUUUCCUUUCUGAUUUUUAGUUUUACUUCCUAAUGCCUGCUUUUAGUUUAUUUUGGACCCCAUAAUGUGAGUUUUCAUUAGGGACUAUGUUUGAGACGUUAUGGGGGCAGUAUGUACUAACUUACAAAAGGUAAACGCAUCGUAAAGUCCUUUGCGUGUGAAAUAACUUAGAUACCUGAGUACCCGUGUUUCUCCUCCCAGCCUUUGCCCUGGGAUGUGUAUUUGGCAGUUUAACCUGUUCUGUUUUACUCUUUUAAAAACACAAGAGGCAGUGGUACAAAAAA